rnacentral:rRNA from 1 species
UACGUAGGGUGCGAGCGUUAAUCGGAAUUACUGGGCGUAAAGCGUGCGCAGGCGGUUCGUUGUGUCGGUGGUGAAAGCCCCGGGCUUAACCUGGGAAUGGCCAUGGAAACUGGCGAACUGGAGUGUGGCAGAGGGGGGUGGAAUUCCGCGUGUAGCAGUGAAAUGCGUAGAUAUGCGGAGGAACACCGAUGGCGAAGGCAAUCCCCUCGGGCCUGCACUGACGCUCAUGCACGAAAGCGUGGGGAGCGAAACAAGGAUUGAGAAACCCGAACGGUAGUCCAG